UCUCUGCUGUUGUAUUUUACAUUGUUUCCAGUGUUCAUAUAUUAAAAUUGCUCACAUUGUAUGAAAUUUCAGUAGUGCUGGAAGUGUGGUUUCCAGCAAAUAUUACCUUUGUUGGAAUUUAGUUAAGAAACGCAUUUUGUCAAAUUCACAGUUCUUGAUGUUUUAACUAAUUUUCAGUUUUGUAAGUUGGUUUUCUAGGCAAAGGUGGUCUAUUGGUUUUUCUAGGAGUAAAUAAAUUAGUCUUUAUAUGGAGAUUACAAACUCUAUUUUUUUCUAUUGAGGAGAGGGAACAUAGUGGCCAAACUGAAAAUACUACUGAAGUUCCAGCCUUUCUUGUUUUCCCAGGGUAGUCCAGGCUUGGGGAGCUCUACCUCACGUGUUAGAGCAGCUCUGCCUCCUGUGCCGGGUGUCCUUGGGACUCCUGGGGAUGGGACCCUCCUGUGCCGGGUGUCCUUGGGACUCCUGGGGACGGGACCCUCCUGUGCCUGCUUUUGGACCAGACGUAUGUGCACUUUCAGAUCCAUGUUUUGUAUGGUGUCUAAGCUGUAGUCUGUUCUAUCUUGUUUUUUCUUAGAGCUUUGUCAUUCUGAUCUGUGUGUCAUUGCUUUGCAUUUGAUGCAAAGGGAAACUCAUAAAGUGAACUUGUUUGGAAGUACCCCAAGAGUCACAUCUGGAGGUGCAGUGUGAAAGUGUGUAGUGUGGAUCUUCAUUGCAUGUUCCAUGUACGUCGUGUUUGUGUCUUGAGAGAGGAGAAGCAGGCCUGCUUGUGUACCUGUCAAGGCUGUUGGAGAAGGUGCUGUGUUUCAGGGAAGGGAGAAAAGGAACCAGUGUGCAUUUAUGUGGAAAAUCACCAGCAGGCCCAAGUUGGCCUUCCUGUGAUAAUGAAAGACAUUCUAGGAGCAGAUAGGAACAUAGGAUGCUGUUCUGAGUCAGCUGAGUUACACUUUGGGCUAUUUACUUACCUGUGUAUACUGCUCCAUUAUUAUUUGUUUGCAGUAGGGUUUUCCCGUCUUUCCAAGAUCUUCCAGUAGGCCAGUUCCGAGCCCAGUGGAGAAGGAAGGAGUU